rnacentral:lncRNA from 1 species
ACGGGGUUGGCGGGCGGCGACUUGGGAGCCGGCUAACCGCGUCACCCCGGCCAGCCCGGCUGUGGCCUGUGCGGACGCAGCUGCACGCUCUUCAAGUUAGGCAGCUCGCGCUCUGGUUGCAGCAGGAAACGCGGCGCAGGACAGGCGCACGAGGACCGUCCUGCGUCCUGAGCGUGCUGCCGCGUGGCACCGUUUGGGGAGUGGGGUAACAUCAAUCUGUCCGAGCUCACGAGAGAAAAGGAUGCUGUGGAACGGGUGGACGGUUUGGUAGGUCUGUUCGUGACAGUGAACGAUCCAGGAACAGACAAGCUUCCCAUUGCGGCAAGGAAGAACAGGCGGCUGUAUACUUUGAAGAUGUUAGGAGCAUAGACAGAAGCGUUAGUGGCGUCACGCUCGGACGUCUCGCGGUUUAGUUCAUUGACCUGUAUUGUACAUGGACAUAUUUUUUAAUGUAGGAUACUGUGACCACAAGAGACAGUAACUAAUAUCACAGCUGAGAAGGGCAAGGAAUACUGAAGAUAACGAAGAGAGUGUGGAACUCUUGUUUUUUCCAUUAAAUCUGCUUCCUGUCAGCCAUCAGACUUUUUCCCACUCUCAUUCAGAUUGCCAUCUGCUCCUUGGCCUCAAAUCCCAAGUGACCUUAACCGCUAAAGACUAGUAUUUCUAACCUCCAGUCCUUCAUUCUGUCUACGCACGCAGAUGCAUUUUGGUUAACAGACAGGCGGUGUAAGAGACCCCCUUGGUGGAUCCCCGUCUUUGGCAGAGAGGUGUGUUGGUGCAUGGAGGAAGCCUUUGCCAUCUUCACAAAACAGACCUACGUGCUGGUUCAUCUUCAUACCAGGAAAUGAUGACAGUCUUCAGGUCUAGACAAGCUGCUUAAUGGAACGGCAAGUCAUACCUACUAAGGUCUCACUGCAAGCAAGUGCAAUAUUCCAGAGAAGCAGCAAGGAUAUCCCAAAAACAUGUUUAAUCAUCUCUAAGACGCUGUACCCAGAACAAGCUCUGAUAGAACCCUCAAAGGGAGAAUAUUUUGGAAGAAAGGUAGCGUGAAGUGUCAGCCGAAGAAAGAAAUAUAUAAGCUGGUUGGUGGGGGAAAUGACUGCUCCAUCCUCCAUCCGAGGCUGCUCCUUCGGAUGGCUCAGUGAAGUUGCUAUCGUUCUUCCCAUUAAAACUUGCUGUUAGCCUGUCAUUGAGCCUGCUCUUUAUGGGGAGUCUGAUUUUGGUACUGGCGAUUUAACAAGGGCU